rnacentral:rRNA from 1 species
UACAGAGGUCUCGAGCGUUGUUCGGAUUCAUUGGGCGUAAAGGGUGCGUAGGUGGCGCCGUAAGUCAGGUGUGAAAUUUCGGAGCUUAACUCCGAAACUGCAUUUGAUACUGCGGUGCUUGAGGACUGGAGAGGAGACUGGAAUUCACGGUGUAGCAGUGAAAUGCGUAGAGAUCGUGAGGAAGACCAGUGGCGAAGGCGGGUCUCUGGACAGUUCCUGACACUGAGGCACGAAGGCCAGGGGAGCAAACGGG